GCGUCGUUCGGACCGCCUUGAAUUAU
rnacentral:snRNA from 1 species